CAAAUACUCCCUCCGUCUCAAAAUUCUUGUCUUAGUUUUGUCUAAAUACAAAUAUAUCUAGUCAUGUUUUAGUGUUACAUACAUCUGUAUCUUGAGAAAUCUAAGACAAGAAUUUUAGGACGGAGGGAGUAUUUG
rnacentral:pre_miRNA from 1 species